ensembl:snRNA U6 U6 spliceosomal RNA
CUGUUUUCUUUGGCAACAAAUACAUUAAAACUGAAACCAUAUAGAGAAAAAUUAGCAUACCUUCUAGGCAAGGACGACAAACAAAUUAGUGAAGCAUUCCAGAUUUUU